rnacentral:rRNA from 1 species
AGAGCGAACGCUGGCGGCAGGCCUAACACAUGCAAGUCGAGCGCCCCGCAAGGGGAGCGGCAGACGGGAGAGUAACACGUGGGAACGUACCCUUUGGUUCGGAACAACCCAGGGAAACUUGGGCUAAUACCGAAUAAGCCCUUACGGGGAAAGAUUUAUCGCCAAAGGAUCGGCCCGCGUCUGAUUAGCUAGUUGGUGAGGUAACGGCUCACCAAGGCGACGAUCAGUAGCUGGUCUGAGAGGAUGAUCAGCCUCACUGGGACUGAGACACGGCCCAGACUCCUACGGGAGGCAGCAGUGGGGAAUCUUGCGCAAUGGGCGAAAGCCUGACGCAGCAACGCCGCGUGCGGGAUGAAGGCCUUCGGGUUGUAAACCGCUUUCAGUGGGGACGAACCAAGACGGUACCCACAGAAGAAGCCCCGGCAACUACGUGCCAGCAGCCGC